CCUACGGGAGGCAGCAGUGGGGGAUAUUGCACAAUGGGGGGAACCCUGAUGCAGCGACGCCGCGUGGGUGAAGAAGCGCCUCGGCGCGUAAAGCCCUUUCAGCAGGGAAGAAAAUGACGGUACCUGAAGAAGAAGCCCCGGCUAACUACGUGCCAGCAGCCGCGGUAAUAGGUAGGGGGCAAGCGUUAUCCGGAUUUACUGGGUGGAAAGGGGGCGCAGACGGGGUUGCAAGCCAGAGGUGAAAGCCCGGGGCCCAACCCCGGGACUGCUCUUGGACAUGGGUGGGUGGAGUGCAGGAGGGGCAGGCGGAAUUCCUGGUGUAGCAGUGAAAUGCGUAGAUAUCAGGAGGAACACCGGUGGCGAAGGCGGCCUGCUGGACUGCAACUGACGUUGAGGCACGAAAGCGUGGGGAGCAAACAGGAUUAGAUACCCGAGUAGUC
rnacentral:rRNA from 1 species